UAAAACUUUAGAAAUUUUAUGAAACUAUGUGGUUGUACAUGUGUUGAAUUUAUUUAAUAAUAUUCAAUUUAUACAAUCCAGAUGUUAUUGUUCUACAUCUACAUUUUGGGGAAGUUGUAUAGCCCAAAACUAGGCGAGGGAAGUCCAUAAUCUGCACGCAAUUACGGCCCAAAUAAUGAGAAAUCCGCUGAUAGGACGCACGUUCCAAACUUAGAACACAGUGACAAUAUUGCUACAGUUUAUAUUAAAUAUGAAGUCAACAUUGAUCGUUUUGAUUUGGUUCGUAUUCAUGUUGGGGGUGUAUUCUCGUUCACGGAAGCCGGAAAUAAAUAAACACGGAGCUGAAAUUCUUCAGCCGGCGCAAGUUGCAGUUGUCAUGAAGAGUGCCUUCGCCGAGGACUCUCCACAGUGGAUAGAGGAAAUCUGCCCUAAUGGAUACCAAAUGGAUGUGACUGGAAUAUGCCGUGAGGUGUGGUACGACGAUUACCAAUACAAUAAUGGUUAUUAAGUUGAAAAUAAUACAAGAAGAAAACGUUCAAAUAAAGUUAUGUGUGAUUACCAGACUUUUUUAGAUUAACGUUGCCAAAAAGUGUUUUUUUUUACUAAUUUUGUUAAAUUGAGUGUCAUAAUCAACGACCAGCGCCACGAAUUUAUGUGACCAACAGUGGUUUUUAAAAAUUAAAAUUUACUUGUAAAUUAUAUUUGUUAAAAAGAAUGAGCGAAAAAGUGUAAAAAUUUCCAGUGUUUUUUUUUUCUUCUUGAUGACAUAACAUUUAAUUCUCUAUGGCAUUUUGGCGUUUAAGGUGUCUUUUUUUUGUAGUCUAGCCUUGCCUUGUAAACGAUUAUUGUUAAAUCACGCAUGUAAAAAAAAAAAUCAUAUUGUACAAUUUACCUAAGCAAAAUGUUUUUUUUUUAAAUUGAUCUAAAAAUGAUUUUAAGAGUAAUAAAAAUACGUAAAGUGCCUA